rnacentral:rRNA from 1 species
GACGAACCGUGCGAACGUUAUUCGGAAUCACUGGGCUUAAAGCGCGUGUAGGCGGGUGGGUGCGUCGGCCGCUGAAAUCCCCCGGCUCAACCGGGGAAGGGGCGCCGAAACGACCGGCCUGGAGCGACGUAGGGGGAACUGGAACUUCCGGUGGAGCGGUGAAAUGCGUUGAGAUCGGAAGGAACGCCCGUGGCGAAAGCGAGUUCCUGGACGUCGGCUGACGCUGAGACGCGAAAGCCAGGGGAGCGAACGGG